rnacentral:rRNA from 1 species
UGGGGAAUAUUGCACAAUGGGCGCAAGCCUGAUGCAGCAACGCCGCGUGAACGAUGAAGGUCUUCGGAUCGUAAAGUUCUGUUGCAGGGGAAGAUAAUGACGGUACCCUGUGAGGAAGCCUCGGCUAACUACGUGCCAGCAGCCGCGGUACUACGUAGGGGGCUAGCGUUAUCCGGAUUUACUGGGCGUAAAGGGUGCGUAGGUGGUCCUUCAAGUCGAUGGGUAAAGGCUACGGCUCAACCGUAGUAAGCCGCCGAAACUGGAGGACGUGAGUGCAGGAGAGGAAAGUGGAAGUCCCAGUGGAGCGGUGAAAUGCGUAGAUAAUGAGAGGAACACCAGUGGCGAAGGCGGCUUUCUGGACUGCAACUGACACUGAGGAACGAAAGCGUGGGUAGCAAACAGG